AUGUUUGUCAGCACGGAGGAAAAAAGCAUUUCAUGUUCAUUCAUUUCAGAUUCUUUUACAUUCCUGAUCUGGCAGGAGUCUGAUAUCCAUUUGGUACCUUUUAAUGGAAUGGUUGCUGGCAGAAAUCAAAGUCAGAGAGCAACACUUCUCACCACUGCUGUGGGCAGACAUCUGCACAUUUGCACACAAAUACACAUAAGACUGCUGCAAAGUAAAAAGAGAGACAAACAAUGAUUGAAAGAUAUUUCCUCAACAGGAUUUUUCA
rnacentral:lncRNA from 11 species